rnacentral:rRNA from 1 species
UACGUAGGGACCGAGCGUUGUCCGGAAUCAUUGGGCGUAAAGAGCGUGUAGGCGGCCACUUAAGUCCUGCGUGAAAUCUUGCGGCUCAACCGCAAGCGGUCGUGGGAAACUGGGUGGCUAGAGUGCGGGAGAGGAGAGUGGAAUUCCUGGUGUAGCGGUGGAAUGCGCAGAUAUCAGGAAGAACACCCGUGGCGAAGGCGGCUCACUGGCCCGAUACUGACGCUGAGGCACGAAAGCGUGGGGAGCAAACAGG